UACGUAGGGUGCAAGCGUUGUCCGGAAUUAUUGGGCGUAAAGAGCUCGUAGGCGGUCUGUCGCGUCGGCUGUGAAAUCCCGAGGCCCAACCUCGGGUCUGCAGUCGAUACGGGCAAACUGGAGUGUUGCAGGGGAGACUGGAAUUCCUGGUGUAGCGGUGAAAUGCGCAGAUAUCAGGAGGAACACCGGCGGCGAAGGCGGGUCUCUGGGCAACAACUGACGCUGAGGAGCGAAAGCGUGGGGAGCGAACAGG
rnacentral:rRNA from 1 species